rnacentral:ncRNA from 1 species
CACUGCCCAUCGCUACUAUGGAUUGAGCAGCUCAAUGAGAACCUCAGCCUGGUCCAGUCUGGGGCUCCCUGACUGUGGGCCCUGGUGGAGCAGCGGGAGGACAAUCAAGCUCAGUUGUUGAGAGUAAGUAAAAGUCGUAACAAGGUUUCCGUAGUUGAACCUGCGGAAG